rnacentral:rRNA from 1 species
CCAGCAGCCGCGGUAAUACGAAGGGACCUAGCGUAGUUCGGAAUUACUGGGCUUAAAGAGUUCGUAGGUGGUUGAAAAAGUUAGUGGUGAAAUCCCAGAGCUUAACUCUGGAACUGCCAUUAAAACUUUUCAGCUAGAGUAUGAUAGAGGAAAGCAGAAUUUCUAGUGUAGAGGUGAAAUUCGUAGAUAUUAGAAAGAAUACCAAUUGCGAAGGCAGCUUUCUGGAUCAUUACUGACACUGAGGAACGAAAGCAUGGGUAGCGAAGAGGAUUAGAUACCCUCGUAGUCCAUGCCGUAAACGAUGUGUGUUAGACGUUGGAAAUUUAUUUUCAGUGUCGCAGCGAAAGCGAUAAACACACCGCCUGGGGAGUACGACCGCAAGGUUAAAACUC